UGGGGAAUUUUGGACAAUGGGCGAAAGCCUGAUCCAGCAAUGGCCGCGUGUGUGAAGAAGGCCUUCGGGUUGUAAAGCACUUUUGUCCGGAAAGAAAUCCUUGGCUCUAAUACAGUCGGGGGAUGACGGUACCGGAAGAAUAAGCACCGGCUAACUACGUGCCAGCAGCCGCGGUAAUACGUAGGGUGCAAGCGUUAAUCGGAAUUACUGGGCGUAAAGCGUGCGCAGGCGGUUUGCUAAGACCGACGUGAAAUCCCCGGGCUCAACCUGGGAACUGCAUUGGUGACUGGCAGGCUAGAGUAUGGCAGAGGGGGGUAGAAUUCCACGUGUAGCAGUGAAAUGCGUAGAGAUGUGGAGGAAUACCGAUGGCGAAGGCAGCCCCCUGGGCCAAUACUGACGCUCAUGCACGAAAGCGUGGGGAGCAAACAGGAUUAGAUACCCUGGUAGUCCACGCCCUAAAACGAUGUCAACUAGUUGUUGGGGAUUCAUUUCCUUAGUAACGUAGCUAACGCGUGAAGUUGACCGCCUGGGGAGUACGGUCGCAAGAUUAAAACUCAAAUGAAUUGACGGGGUCAUAGCUGUUUCCU
rnacentral:rRNA from 1 species